rnacentral:rRNA from 1 species
UACAGAGACUGCAAGCGUUAUUCGGAUUCACUGGGCGUAAAGGGUGCGCAGGCGGUCGGGUGUGUCAGAUGUGAAAUCCCGAGGCUCAACCUCGGAACUGCGUCUGAAACUACUCGACUAGAGUACUGGAGAGGGUAACGGAAUUCACGGUGUAGCAGUGAAAUGCGUAGAUAUCGUGAGGAACACCAGAGGCGAAGGCGGUUACCUGGACAGUUACUGACGCUCAGGCACGAAAGCAUGGGGAGCAAGAGGG